GAUGAACGCUAGCGGCAGGCCUAAUACAUGCAAGUCGAACGGGUGGUCGCAAGACCACUAGUGGCGCACGGGUGCGUAACGCGUAACCAACCUGCCCCGAUCUGGGGGAUAGCCCGCCGAAAGGCGGAUUAAUACCGCAUAUACCCGCAGCCUGGCAUCAGGCAACGGGGAAAGAUUUAUUGGAUCGGGAUGGGGUUGCGUGACAUUAGCUAGUUGGCGGGGUAAGGGCCCACCAAGGCGACGAUGUCUAGGGGACUGAGAGGGUGAUCCCCCACACUGGCACUGAGAUACGGGCCAGACUCCUACGGGAGGCAGCAGUAGGGAAUAUUGGGCAAUGGGCGAGAGCCUGACCCAGCCAUGCCGCGUGCCGGAUGAAGGCCUUCUGGGUUGUAAACGGCUCUUCUCAGGGAAGAAAAAGACCUUGCGAGGUACACUGACGGUACCUGAGGAAUAAGCACCGGCUAACUCCGUG
rnacentral:rRNA from 1 species